rnacentral:lncRNA from 1 species
AAGCUUGGUUAAAAACAGAGUUAAAGGCAGUGGGAGUCCAAGGAGAGGGUCUGAAGUUCACGACUACUAGAAGGGGAGGGGAGUGGAAAGGAUCUCAGUGAAAAAGACCCGUACCACAUAUAGUCAGACUUCCAGUCACAAGCUUCCACUGAAGCUCGAAGUGGAUUUGUGAGCACUAAUUACUGAAGUAUGGAACCCUUCAGAUCAAAGCUUACCAAUAAAUUCAGUAUGUAGAACA